AACGUAGGAGGCAAGCGUUAUCCGGAGUAACAGGGCGUAAAGGGCGAGUAGGUGGUUGUAUAAGUUGGUUAUGAAAGCUCCUGGCUAAACUGGGAGAGGCUGACCAAGACUGUAUGACUUGAGUGGAGAAGAGGUAAACGGAAUUCCGCGUGUAGUGGUGAAAUGCGUAGAGAUGCGGAAGAACACCAGUGGCGAAGGCGGUUUACUGGUCUCCAACUGACACAGAACCGCGAAAGCAUGGGUAGCGAACGGG
rnacentral:rRNA from 1 species